rnacentral:tRNA from 1 species
AUUCAGGUAGUUUAGUUAAAAAUGUUGAUUUGUGGUGUCAAAGAGAUUAGUAUAAUAUUCUGAAUU